rnacentral:rRNA from 1 species
GACGAACCGUGCAAACGUUGUUCGGAAUCACUGGGCUUAAAGGGCGCGUAGGCGGACUCUCAAGUCGGUGGUGAAAUCGUUCGGCUCAACCGGACAAGUGCCGCCGAUACUGGAAGUCUCGAGGGAGGUAGGGGUCGAGGGAACUGGUGGUGGAGCGGUGAAAUGCGUAGAUAUCACUAGGAACGCCGGUGGCGAAAGCGCUCGACUGGACCUCUUCUGACGCUGAGGCGCGAAAGCCAGGGGAGCAAACGGG